CUUGCUCUCGGGUGACGAGUGGCGGACGGGUGAGUAAUGUCUGGGGAUCUGCCCGAUAGAGGGGGAUAACCACUGGAAACGGUGGCUAAUACCGCAUAACGUCGCAAGACCAAAGAGGGGGACCUUCGGGCCUCUCACUAUCGGAUGUACCCAGAUGGGAUUAGCUAGUAGGCGGGGUAAUGGCCCACCUAGGCGACGAUCCCUAGCUGGUCUGAGAGGAUGACCAGCCACACUGGAACUGAGACACGGUCCAGACUCCUACGGGAGGCAGCAGUGGGGAAUAUUGCACAAUGGGCGCAAGCCUGAUGCAGCCAUGCCGCGUGUAUGAAGAAGGCCUUCGGGUUGUAAAGUACUUUCAGCGGGGAGGAAGGCGACGGGGUUAAUAACCCUGUCGAUUGACGUUACCCGCAGAAGAAGCACCGGCUAACUCCGUGCCAGCAGCCGCGGUAAUACGGAGGGUGCAAGCGUUAAUCGGAAUUACUGGGCGUAAAGCGCACGCAGGCGGUCUGUUAAGUCAGAUGUGAAAUCCCCGGGCUUAACCUGGGAACUGCA
rnacentral:rRNA from 1 species